UAAAGGAAGCGAUUCCGGCUACGGAUGGUCAUGCGUCGCAUUAGCUAGUUGGCGGGGUAACGGCCCACCAAGGCGACGACGCGUAGGGGUUCUGAGAGGAAGGUCCCCCACACUGGUACUGAGACACGGACCAGACUCCUACGGGAGGCAGCAGUGAGGAAUAUUGGUCAAUGGCCGCAGGGCUGAACCAGCCAAGUCGCGUGAGGGAUGACGGUCCUAUGGAUUGUAAACCUCUUUUGUCAGGGAGCAAAGGGCGCCACGUGUGGCGCUUUGCGAGUACCUGAAGAAAAAGCAUCGGCUAACUCCGUGCCAGCAGCCGCGGUAAUACGGAGGAUGCGAGCGUUAUCCGGAUUUAUUGGGUUUAAAGGGUGCGCAGGCGGAAUGUCAAGUCAGCGGUAAAAUUUCGGGGCUCAACCCCGUCGUGCCGUUGAAACUGGCGUUCUUGAGUGAGCGAGAAGUAUGCGGAAUGCGUGGUGUAGCGGUGAAAUGCAUAGAUAUCACGCAGAACUCCGAUUGCGAAGGCAGCAUACCGGCGCUCAACUGACGCUCAUGCACGAAAGCGUGGGUAUCGAACAGGAUUAGAUACCCUGGUAGUCCACGCAGUAAACGAUGAAUACUAACUGUCCGGGCAGAAUGAUGCCUGG
rnacentral:rRNA from 1 species